UUAAGUUCAGCGGGUCUUCCUACCUGAUCCGAGGUCAACCUUGGGUAAAUAAGGCUUUUUAACGGCCGGAACCCGCAGCACGCCCUGAGCGAGAUGUAUUACUACGCUCGGAGUGACUAGCGAGCCCGCCACUGGUUUUCAGGGCUUGCGGGCAGCCGCAGGACCCCAACACAAGCAGGGCUUGAUGGUUGAAAUGACGC
rnacentral:misc_RNA from 1 species